UACGUAGGGUGCGAGCGUUAAUCGGAAUUACUGGGCGUAAAGCGUGCGCAGGCGGUUUUGUAAGCCAGAUGUGAAAUCCCCGGGCUUAACCUGGGAAUGGCAUUUGGGACUGCAAGGCUGGAGUGCGGCAGAGGAGACUGGAAUUCCACGUGUAGCAGUGAAAUGCGUAGAGAUGUGGAGGAACACCGAUGGCGAAGGCAGCCUCCUGGGCCAGCACUGACGCUCAUGCACGAAAGCGUGGGGAGCAAACAGG
rnacentral:rRNA from 1 species